GACAGAGGGUGCAAACGUUGUUCGGAAUUAUUGGGCGUAAAGCGCGCGUAGGCGGUUACUCAAGUCGGAUGGGAAAGCCCUCGGCUUAACUGAGGAAGUGCACCCGAAACUGAGUAGCUAGAGUACCAAAGAGGGUCGCGGAAUUCCCGGUGUAGAGGUGAAAUUCGUAGAUAUCGGGAGGAACACCGGUGGCGAAGGCGGCGACCUGGGUGGAUACUGACGCUGAGGCGCGAAAGCGUGGGGAGCAAACAGG
rnacentral:rRNA from 1 species